CUUGGGCUUUCAUAUUUAAAUUCGAAUUGGGCCAGUCUUUUAUUUAAUUGGCUCUUCUCAUUAUUUUUAUUGAGCAUGAAUUAAUUUAAGGAAUUGGGCUUUGUCUUUUAAUUCUUUGGGCUGCUGUAUCAUAUCAACUGAGCCGAGUUUUAUUUAAUUUUAAGCUCAGAAUAAUUCAUUCUAUUCUUGGGCUAAUUUUAAAUUAUGGAUUGAAAUUUUAUUUAGUUGGGCCUUACAUGAUUUAUUUAAUUGAGCCCAACUAUUCAUUAUUUAAUCAUUUGGGCCAAGAUUUAUUUAAUUACUAAGCCCAAUGAAUUAUUUCAAUUGGACCUUUCAUUUUAGCUAUCCAGGCCCAUUUCUACUUAAUUAAUUAUUGGGCUACCUUAUGUUGAGCCUUUUAAUUAUUCGAACUCAUAACAUUUCAAAUUCUCAUUAUUAAGCCCGGUUGAUUAUGAGUUAUAAAGCGAAUAAGCUGAAGUAUUUAAUUAUUUUCUAUCGACUACGAGGAGCGGGAUUUAUUUAAUUGGCGGAUUAGAACAACCUAAGAGAACGGAUUAAUUUUUAUUAAUUAUCUGGCUUCAUGAGACGAGACUUACUUUUGUUUAAAUCCGAUAGCCUGGAUUAACAAUAGAAAUUCCCUGAUUAUUAUUUCAGAAUAAUAAUUCAUGCAUAAGGAUCAUGCAUAGUUAAAUAUACAUUCUCAUUUGAGGAUUUUUAUUCGAGCAAAUAUCUUAUAUAUGUACAUAUAUUCUCGUAAUAAAGGUCAAGGGCGAGAUUGAUAAUCUGUUGAGGAGCUUUCGUAUCACAGAAAAUCACUAUCAGGUUGAGCAGCUGCCGAUGGUGAUGAAGUGACGAGCGGGACUCUUUUGUCUUAUUAUGUAUUAAUGAACUCUAGGGUUACAUGUCUUCAUACAUGUAAUCAGAACCUUAUUCCGCUGCGUACUCAGAAGUUUUAUGUUAUCUUGGAUAAGUCGGAGUUAUCCGAACUUACUAGUUAUUUGAGUCUAUACGACUAAAACUCCGUUAUAUUAUAAAUAUCCCUGUUGUUAACAA